CGGGAGGCAGCAGUGGGGGAUAUUGCGCAAUGGGGGAAACCCUGACGCAGCGACGCCGCGUGAGCGAGGAAGGCCUUCGGGUCGUAAAGCUCUGUCCCUGGGGAAGAAGGAAUGACGGUACCUGGG
rnacentral:rRNA from 1 species